UCUAUAGCUCAGUGGACAGAGCAUGAGACUCUUAAUCUCAGGAUUACGGGUUUGAGUCCCACGUUGGGCAAAA